GCUUGCCUCUUGGGGUUGUAGGACACUCAAUACGGAGUGACAAAGGAACGGAGUAGACGAAGCGGUCUGGAAAGGCCCGCCAGAGGAGGUAACAGCCCUGUAGUCGAAACUUCGUUCCCUCCUGAGUGGAUCCUGAGUACGGCGGGACACGAGGAAUCCCGUCGGAAGCAGGGAGGACCAUCUCCCAAGGCUAAAUACUCCCUAGUGACCGAUAGUGAACCAGUACCGUGAGGGAAAGGUGAAAAGCACCCCGGGAGGGGAGUGAAAGAGAACCUGAAACCGUGUGCCUACAAGUAGUCAGAGCCCGUUUAUGGGUGAUGGCGUGCCUUUUGUAGAAUGAACCGGCGAGUUACGAUCUCGUGCGAGGUUAAGUCGAAAAGACGGAGCCGUAGCGAAAGCGAGUCUGAAUAGGGCGUAUAGUACGAGGUCGUAGACCCGAAACCAGGUGAUCUACCCAUGUCCAGGGUGAAGGUAGGGUAAUACCUACUGGAGGCCCGAACCCACGCACGUUGAAAAGUGCGGGGAUGAGGUGUGGGUAGGGGUGAAAUGCCAAUCGAACUUGGAGAUAGCUGGUUCUCCCCGAAAUAGCUUUAGGGCUAGCCUCGAGUUGAGAGUCUUGGAGGUAGAGCACUGAUUGGGCUAGGGGCCCUCAUCGGGUUACCGAACUCAGUCAAA
rnacentral:rRNA from 1 species